GGCGGGCUACAGCCGCCGCUCGGAGAUGUACCCCCAUCUGCUCCCCAAUCUGUCGCCUGCUACUGUAGCCCGCAGGGCCUCCCGCCUGCUACUGUCCGGUGAGGCGGGGUUCUCCCCAUCGCCAACCCGCCGGUGCCCUGCGCCGCCCCGGCGAGGCCCUGCUCCGCCAGCUCCCGUGCUGCCCUAGCGAGACCCUGCGCCCCCGGAGACCUCCUCCCCUCCCCCAGCGCCGCCGGCUCCCGUACCGCCGCGGAAAGGCCCUGCGCCGCCAGCUCACGUCGGCCACCGUUCAUCGGUACCCCCCCCCCCCCCGGCGAGUCCCUGUGCCGUCGUCGCCCUGCUGUUGAUGCGUGCCGCCCGUCGAGCUGCAGCGCCAGGUGCCGUUGGCCGCCCCUCCCAGCGUCCUGGAGUUAGUCUCUCGCCGCUGCGCCGCGUACUUGACUCGCCCGCCUCUAGCCGUCGUGGAGAGACCCUGCCCCAAUGGAGCCUUCUGGUACGCAAUUGUCCCCCAUUCACUGCCUGCUUCGAUUCUCUUUGUGCUUUGUGAAGAUGUAUUUCGAUUCACUACAUUUCAAUUUAUGCAGUGAUUAGUGCAUAGUACUCCAAUCCCAUGUAUUUGCUAAUUGAUCUAGCCCUUGGGCCAGUUUUAUGAAUUCCUGCUGUCAGUAUCUUUUGGCUACGUACAAUGCUGGGUAGAUUAAUCAAGCAUGUGUAAAUUGACCAGCUCCUGCUCCCAUUCGUACUUUCUCUUGGUGGCACCUCCGUUGAUCUACUUAUGCAUAAAUACCUUUUCUCAUUGUGGUGGCGCUAUUGUAGAGAUUGUUUUAGAUAAUUGUCUUGUAGUGCUAAAAUUUAUAGUGGUUUCCUCUGCUUAUUCAUCCAAUCUGACAAUUGUUUUUCUUAUUUAUUUUUAUCACUUUCUCAUUCAUUCCCUUCAAAAAUAUGAAAAUCAACAAAUAAGCUUUAUUUCAUAUAACAGUUGGACCUUUCUCAUGGCUAGUGUCUUCAUCUUCCUUUUCAUUAACUGAAACUCUGUUUUAUAAUUUUUACCUGAUUAUCAAGUGAAUAGAAACUUCAGGGUAUUAGAUGCGAAGCUACUGUAUUAUGUCGAUUUGAAAAUUAGAGAAGUAAUUAUCAUAUUACUUCUUUGCUAACAUAGUGAGAUACUACAUUUUCUGUUUGAAAAUUGCUUCUUUGAAUAGUGAUAAUGCCAAACCAUGAUAAAGGUAAAUGCACUAAAUUUCACUUUGUUAAAUUUCGAAGUACUACACAGAUGGUAUGCUUCUCAGAAUAUCUCUAGUACCAAGAUUUCUGCUGAUGCAAAUUGCAGAUGCAUAUACAGGUGAAAGUUUAGCUGUGAACCUGUCAAUUCAUCACUGAUAUAUAGCCCAAUGGUGCAAAAAUCAAUCCUCCAACAGCAACUAAUCCUCAAAUUUUCUGCACAUGAUGAAUUCUUUAAUGUUCUCAGUUUUGCCUGAUGUGUGGAGCUCGAUUUACACCUCAGCAGCCAGGCUGACGCCUGCAUUGGCUUCUAGCAGUGGAUGUGGUGGAAGUAUCUCUGGGUAUACAGGAGUUUGGACCUUCUGCUUCAUUUGGUUAAAUCUCUGCCUAAGUUGUGUGCAUUUCUGCAGUUUGAAAAAAUUGUUAUUCCCUUGACUCGAUCUACAAAUCAGUUUUUGGUGGCAUUCUCUAACAUAGUGCCAUUGGUGAGAUCUUUCAAUAUAUGUUGUCACCAUGUACCAUAUCCACAAUUUUCAAUAUAUGUUCACAUCUCUUUUUGUUCACAGACUACCUUUGUUGGCCGUGGGUACCAUUGCAUAAUGUAUCAUGUGAAUUUUUUGGUGUCUAUGGUUGGGUUGAGUAUUAUUUACCACCUGAAUUAAAGAAUGCUUUUUAGUAGUUGCAAUUUCACCGUAUAGACUCUUAAAGGAAUUCUGGUCGAAAUAACUUUGUAUUUUAGUCUUAGCACCAUUGAACUAUCUUUGCAUUGACAGUAUUGCCAUUUUCUUUUCAUGUCACAGACAUUCGAAUGUACCACCAGCCGGUAUGCCAAUGAUCAGCUCACAGUGGGCAUCAUCUUCCAUAACCUGAAUGAAUGCCUCACUUAUGCCUCCGGUGCUGAGGCUACCUGUCAUCUCCCUUGCUUUUAUAUAUCCUCAUGAAUGUAAUAGAAGUAGGCACCAUAAGCAAUAUUUAACAGUCUUCGAUGCUACCAAAUGAUGUUUCAGCUUAAUUCACUUUUACAGUAUAAUCAGUGCUCAUUUUUAGAAAUAUGAUUGCUCAAAACUGACUCAAUCCUAGGCAAUUAUUGACAGAAUACAUAGCAUGGGAUUAGUUUAAGUGAAUUAUCUCUGCUGUCAUGCUGAUAUCUGGGAUGCUCAUUUCAGAUGCCAGAGGCUGUUUCCCCUCUCCCUCGAUCCUGCAACCUGGACUCCUACAUGAAAGAGGCAUCUGGGGAAGCAGAAAUCGGAAUUGUCAUCCGUGACCUUCUGGUCAGUGUCAAGCUAACAGCAUGGAAGAUGAUGUUCGACACUUCGAAUGCCGAGGAGAUGGAAGCUUUGGCAUGUAAAGAGGGCAUUGGCCUGGCUGCUGAAUGGUUGCCGUCCAAUAUUUGAAGGAGGUGAAGGUCUUGAAGCCUGUAUGUCUCUCCAUCAUUCAGGAGGCUUCUCAUGCGGCCAGUAGAUUGCCAGGUUUUGAGUUGAAUCAUGUAAAGAGAUAGGAAUUCAGUAGCCGAUGAUCUUGCACAAAUGGCGAAGUGUCUGAACCACAGUGCUGUGUGGUGAGGCUGUUAUCCUGCCUGUACUAAGCAGCUGAUUGCUCUUGAUUGUAACAUUUCCAUGAGUAAUGAAUAAAAUCUCGAGUAUGUUUUAUGGUU